rnacentral:rRNA from 1 species
GAUGAACGCUGGCGGCGUGCCUAAUACAUGCAAGUCGAGCGAACAGACGAGGAGCUUGCUCCUCUGACGUUAGCGGCGGACGGGUGAGUAACACGUGGAUAACCUACCUAUAAGACUGGGAUAACUUCGGGAAACCGGAGCUAAUACCGGAUAAUAUAUUGAACCGCAUGGUUCAAUAGUGAAAGACGGUUUUGCUGUCACUUAUAGAUGGAUCCGCGCCGCAUUAGCUAGUUGGUAAGGUAACGGCUUACCAAGGCAACGAUGCGUAGCCGACCUGAGAGGGUGAUCGGCCACACUGGAACUGAGACACGGUCCAGACUCCUACGGGAGGCAGCAGUAGGGAAUCUUCCGCAAUGGGCGAAAGCCUGACGGAGCAACGCCGCGUGAGUGAUGAAGGUCUUCGGAUCGUAAAACUCUGUUAUUAGGGAAGAACAAAUGUGUAAGUAACUAUGCACGUCUUGACGGUACCGAAUCAGAAAGCCACGGCUAACUACGUG